UCAAAACAAAGUUAAAUCAGACGAUUUAAUAUUCAAUUAAGUAACUUUUGAAUCCUUAAAUAACCUAAAAAAUGUAUAACAAACACUAUAAGAAAAUAUGUAUUUCUCGACGCACAACACGGACGUUGGGAGCAAAGCUUCUCCCGACGUUGUAGAAUCUUAGUCGGGAAAGGUUGGUCAUCCCAACGCGACAUAAGGCAACAUCGGUAUAAGAUAUGAAAGGAAGCCGAAAAAUGAGAAAGAGAGAGAGAGAGAGAUUUCAGACUUCCAAAAGAGGAAGAAGAUUCCUGUCGCCAUCCACCAUCCAGUUUUCAUCGUCAAUCUCCAUCGUCUGGUCUUCACAUUCGCCCACCGCCCCUCGCCGACGGUAAGCCAAUCUUUUUUUUUUCUUUAUUUUGGUUUAGGUAUUAGAAAUAUAAUUAAAUUUGUGAUUGUUUUUGUGGAUUUGUAUCAAUAAUGUUUAAACUGUGUUCAUUUUGUUGUGGAUUUGUUGUUGAUUGUGUAAAUUUUGUUUUUAUUGUUGAUUUUUUGUUA